rnacentral:rRNA from 1 species
GCUAGUUGGUGAGGUAACGGCUCACCAAGGCAAAGAUGGGUAGCUGGUCUGAGAGGAUGGCCAGCCACACUGGAACUGAGACACGGUCCAGACUCCUACGGGAGGCAGCAGUAGGGAAUUUUGGGCAAUGGGCGAAAGCCUGACCCAGCAACGCCGCGUGUGGGAUGAAGGCCCUCGGGUCGUAAACCACUGUCAGGAGGAAAGAAAAGCCGGCCGGGUAAUAUUCGGUCGGCCUGACGGUACCUCCAAAGGAAGCACCGGCUAACUCCGUGCCAGCAGCCGCGGUAAUACGGAGGGUGCAAGCGUUGUUCGGAAUUACUGGGCGUAAAGCGCGUGUAGGUGGUUGAGUAAGUCGAAUGUGAAAGCCCCGGGCUCAACCCGGGAAGUGCAUCCGAAACUGCUCGUCUAGAGUCCCGGAGAGGGAGGCAGAAUUCCCAAUGUAGGGGUGAAAUCCGUAGAUAUUGGGAGGAAUACCGGUGGCGAAGGCGGCCUUCUGGACGGUGACUGACACUCAGACGCGAAAGCGUGGGGAGCAAACAGGAUUAGAUACCCUGGUAGUCCACGCUGUAAACGUUGCGAACUAGGUGUCGGGGGUAUUCACCCCUCCGGUGCCGAAGCUAACGUCUUAAGUUCGCCGCCUGGGAAGUACGGCCGCAAGGCUAAAACUCAAAGGAAUUGACGG